GACGAACGCUGGCGGCGUGCUUAACACAUGCAAGUCGAACGGAAAGGCCCUGCUUGCAUGGUACUCGAGUGGGGAACGGGUGAGUAACACAGGGGUGCACCGCCCUGCACUUUUUGGUAAGCUUUGAAAACUGGGUCUAUUACCGGAUAUGGGCCAUCUUUAGGGUGGGGGUGGGAAGGAUUUUUCGGUGUAGGAUGAGCUCGCGGGCUAUCAGCUUGUUGGUGGGGUAGUGGCCUACCAAGCCGGCGAGGGGUAGCUGGCCUGAGAGGGUGUACGGCCGCACUGGGACUGUGAGACGGGCCAGAGUCCUGAAGGGGGCAGAAGGGGGGAAAAUUGCACAAUGGGAGACAGCGUGAGGCAGGGAGGCCGCGUGGGAGAUAAAGGCCUUUGGGUGGUAAAAACCGUUGGCGAGUGACACAGCGUUUUUGUGACGGUACCUAGAUAAGAAGCACCGGCUAACUACGUG
rnacentral:rRNA from 1 species